rnacentral:rRNA from 1 species
UACGAAGGGGGCUAGCGUUGCUCGGAAUCACUGGGCGUAAAGCGCGCGUAGGCGGCUCUUUAAGUCAGGGGUGAAAUCCCAAGGCUCAACCUUGGAACUGCCUUUGAUACUGGGGAUCUCGAGUCCGGAAGAGGUGAGUGGAACUGCGAGUGUAGAGGUGAAAUUCGUAGAUAUUCGCAAGAACACCAGUGGCGAAGGCGGCUCACUGGUCCGGUACUGACGCUGAGGUGCGAAAGCGUGGGGAGCAAACAGG